UAGGGAAUCUUCCACAAUGGACGAAAGUCUGAUGGAGCAACGCCGCGUGAGUGAAGAAGGUUUUCGGAUCGUAAAGCUCUGUUGUUGGUGAAGAAGGAUAGAGGCAGUAACUAGUCUUUAUUUGACGGUAAUCAACCAGAAAGUCACGGCUAACUACGUGCCAGCAGCCGCGGUAAUACGUAGGUGGCAAGCGUUGUCCGGAUUUAUUGGGCGUAAAGCGAGCGCAGGCGGAAUGAUAAGUCUGAUGUGAAAGCCCACGGCUCAACCGUGGAACUGCAUCGGAAACUGUCAUUCUUGAGUGCAGAAGAGGAGAGUGGAACUCCAUGUGUAGCGGUGGAAUGCGUAGAUAUAUGGAAGAACACCAGUGGCGAAGGCGGCUCUCUGGUCUGCAACUGACGCUGAGGCUCGAAAGCAUGGGUAGCGAACAGGAUUAGAUACCCUGGUAGUCCAUGCCGUAAACGAUGAGCGCUAGGUGUUGGGGACUUUCCGGUCCUCAGUGCCGCAGCAAACGCAUUAAGCGCUCCGCCUGGGGAGUACGACCGCAAGGUUGAAAC
rnacentral:rRNA from 1 species